rnacentral:rRNA from 1 species
GAUGAACGCUAGCGGCAGGCUUAAUACAUGCAAGUCGAGGGGUAGCAAGAUUGUAGCAAUACAAUUGUUGACGACCGGCAAACGGGUGCGGAACACGUACACAACCUUCCUACAAGUGGGGAAUAGCCCAGAGAAAUUUGGAUUAAUACCCCGUAACAUAGCGAUGUAGCAUCACAUUGCUAUUAUAGCUUCGGCGCUUGUUGAUGGGUGUGCGGCUGGUUAGAUAGUUGGCGGGGUAACGGCGCACCAAGUCUACGAUCAGUAGCUGAUGUGAGAGGACGAUCAGCCGCAGGGGCGCUGAGCCGCGGGCCCAACUCCUAGUGGAGGCAGCAGUAAGGCAUAUUGGACAAUGGACGGAAGUCUGCUCCAGCCAUGCCGCGUAAAGGAUUAAGGUCCUCGGGAUAGUAAUCUGCUUUUAUAAGGGACGAAAAAAGGUCUUUCUAGAGCGUCUGACGGUACCUUAUGAAUAAGCACCGGCUAACUCCGUGCCAGCAGCCGCGGUACCAC